rnacentral:rRNA from 1 species
ACGCGUUAAAUCGACCGCCUGGGGAGUACGGCCGCAAGGUUAAAACUCAAAUGAAUUGACGGGGGCCCGCACAAGCGGUGGAGCAUGUGGUUUAAUUCGAUGCAACGCGAAGAACCUUACCUGGUCUUGACAUCCACAGAACUUUCCAGAGAUGGAUUGGUGCCUUCGGGAACUGUGAGACAGGUGCUGCAUGGCUGUCGUCAGCUCGUGUUGUGAAAUGUUGGGUUAAGUCCCGCAACGAGCGCAACCCUUAUCCUUUGUUGCCAGCGGUCCGGCCGGGAACUCAAAGGAGACUGCCAGUGAUAAACUGGAGGAAGGUGGGGAUGACGUCAAGUCAUCAUGGCCCUUACGACCAGGGCUACACACGUGCUACAAUGGCAUAUACAAAGAGAAGCGACCUCGCGAGAGCAAGCGGACCUCAUAAAGUAUGUCGUAGUCCGGAUUGGAGUCUGCAACUCGACUCCAUGAAGUCGGAAUCGCUAGUAAUCGUAGAUCAGAAUGCUACGGUGAAUACGUUCCCGGGCCUUGUACACACCGCCCGUCACACCAUGGGAGUGGGUUGCAAAAGAANUAGGUAGCUUAACCUUCGGGAGGGCGC